rnacentral:ncRNA from 2 species
AUACGUGCUCCGGGGUCGGUGAAAGUCCGAACCGGCGGUGACAGUCCGCGACCCGGUGCGUCGAUCAGUGGCCACGCCACAGGAUCAGCGCACCGGUUGAGCCGGUGGAAUUCCGGCACCGACAGUCAGAGUCUGGAUGGGAGAAGCACGUCG